rnacentral:rRNA from 1 species
CUCAGUACACGUGAUAACCUAGCCUUAGACCCGAAUAACCCCGGGAAACUGGGAUAAUACCCGAUAAGCCCAUAGAAAGCUGAAAUGCCCUAUGGUUCAAAGCUCCGGCGCCUAAGGAUGGAUCUGCGGUCUAUCAGGUUGUAGUGGGUGUAACGUACCUACUAGCCGACGACGGAUACGGGUUGUGAGAGCAAGAGCCCGGAGAUGGAUUCUGAGACACGAAUCCAGGCCCUACGGGGUGCAGCAGGCGCGAACACUUUACAAUGCGGGAAACCGCGAUAAGGGAACCCCGAGUGCCAGCAUCAAAUGUUGGCUGUCCAGAUGAUCAAAAAUCAUUUGUUAGCAAGGGCCGGGCAAGACCGGUGCCAGCCGCCGCGGUAACACCGGCGGCCCGAGUGGUAGCCGUUUUUAUUGGGUCUAAAGGGUCCGUAGCCGGCCUGAUAAGUCCUUUGGGAAAUCUGGCAGCUUAACUGUCAGGCUUCUAAGGGGAUACUGUCAGGCUUGGGACCGGAAGAGGUAAGGGGUACUCCAGGGGUAGGAGUGAAAUCUUGUAAUCCCUGGGGGACCAUCUGUGGCGAAGGCGCCUUACCAGAACGGGUCCGACGGUGAGGGACGAAAGCUAGGGGAGCAAACCGGAUUAGAUACCCGGGUAGUCCUAGCUGUAAACGAUGCUCGCUAGGUGUCAGACACGGUGCGACCGUGUUUGGUGCCGCAGGGAAGCCGUUAAGCGAGCCACCUGGGAAGUACGGUCGCAAGGCUGAAACUAAAG